rnacentral:rRNA from 1 species
GACGAACCUUGCUAACGUUAUUCGGAAUUACUGGGCUUAAAGGGUGCGUAGGCGGCGCGGUGAGUCGGGUGUGAAAUCUCGGAGCUUAACUCCGAAACUGCAUUCGAUACUGCCGUGCUUGAGGACUGGAGAGGAGACUGGAAUUUACGGUGUAGCGGUGAAAUGCGUAGAUAUCGUAAGGAAGACCAGUGGCGAAGGCGGGUCUCUGGACAGUUCCUGACGCUGAGGCACGAAGGCCAGGGGAGCAAACGGG